rnacentral:lncRNA from 1 species
AUGUCUAUACCCAGAAUAGUAUCCGACCCAAAGUCAAGUCUCUACAAGUGUUUCUUACAUUAUUCCAAAAUUAAGGAAACGAAGCAGACAUUCUCUCUUGUACAAGAAUAUCUUUGGAAUAAAAAAUUAAGACAAGUCACAAAUGGAUUAGGUUGCUGA